AUUGAACGCUGGCGGCAGGCCUAACACAUGCAAGUCGAGCGGUAGAGAGGAGCUUGCUUCUCUUGAGAGCGGCGGACGGGUGAGUAAUGCCUAGGAAUCUGCCUGGUAGUGGGGGAUAACGUUCGGAAACGGACGCUAAUACCGCAUACGUCCUACGGGAGAAAGUGGGGGAUCUUCGGACCUCACGCUAUCAGAUGAGCCUAGGUCGGAUUAGCUAGUUGGUGAGGUAAAGGCUCACCAAGGCGACGAUCCGUAACUGGUCUGAGAGGAUGAUCAGUAACACGGGAAAUGAGACACGGUCCAGACUCCUACGGGAGGCAGCAGUGGGGAAUAUUGGACAAUGGGCUCAAGCCUGAUUCAGCCAUGCCGCGUGUGUGAAGAAGGUCUUCGGAUUGUAAAGCACUUUAAGUUGGGAGGAAGGUCAGUAGCUUAAUACGUUGCUGAUUUGACGUUACCGACAGAAUAAGCACCGGCUAACUCUGUGCCAGCAGCCGCCGUAAAAC
rnacentral:rRNA from 1 species